GCACCAACAAGACACUGGAAGUCAGUGAGAUGGCUGCCAACAUCAUAAGGAAUCAUAUCUACUGUGUGAGGAAAGCUGCCUGUGGCACUGAUCUAAAUGAUAAAUGGAGAGAAGUCAAAAGAGACAAGGAAAGGAAUAUGCAGAAGCAAGAGGAUGUUUGGGAAAAGACUGUAAGUCAUGAAUUUGUUGAACACUAGUUCUGCUGGAGAACUAGAAGUACAAGAUGUGAAUGUGGAGCUCCCUGGCCUGGCCCUAAUGAAGCUUGUCUGAGGAAAAUAUAGUUGACCUUUGAAUAG